UACGUAGGGUGCAAGCGUUGUCCGGAAUUAUUGGGCGUAAAGAGCUCGUAGGCGGUUUGUUGCGUCGGCUGUGAAAUCCCGAGGCUCAACCUCGGGUCUGCAGUCGAUACGAGCAAACUAGAGUGUUGCAGGGGAGACUGGAAUUCCUGGUGUAGCGGUGAAAUGCGCAGAUAUCAGGAGGAACACCGGUGGCGAAGGCGGGUCUCUGGGCAACAACUGACGCUGAGGCACGAAAGCUAGGGGAGCAAACAGG
rnacentral:rRNA from 1 species